rnacentral:rRNA from 1 species
GUCCACGCCGUAAACGAUGGGUGCUAGGUGUGGGGGUGUCGACUCCCUCCGUGCCGAAGCUAACGCAUUAAGCACCCCGCCUGGGGAGUACGGCCGCAAGGCUAAAACUCAAAGGAAUUGACGGGGCCCGCACAAGCAGCGGAGCAUGUGGUUUAAUUGGACGCGACGCCAAGAACCUUACCAAGGCUUGACAUGGUCGGGAAAAAACGUGGAAACACGUUCCUCCUUCGGGACUCGAUCACAGGUGGUGCAUGGCUGUCGU